UAAUGGGUCAGCGACUUAUAUUCUGUAGCAAGGUUAACCGAAUAGGGGAGCCGAAGGGAAACCGAGUCUUAACUGGGCGUUAAGUUGCAGGGUAUAGACCCGAAACCCGGUGAUCUAGCCAUGGGCAGGUUGAAGGUUGGGUAACACUAACUGGAGGACCGAACCGACUAAUGUUGAAAAAUUAGCGGAUGACUUGUGGCUGGGGGUGAAAGGCCAAUCAAACCGGGAGAUAGCUGGUUCUCCCCGAAAGCUAUUUAGGUAGCGCCUCGUGAAUUCAUCUCCGGGGGUAGAGCACUGUUUCGGCAAGGGGGUCAUCCCGACUUACCAACCCGAUGCAAACUGCGAAUACCGGAGAAUGUUAUCACGGGAGACACACGGCGGGUGCUAACGUCCGUCGUGAAGAGGGAAACAACCCAGACCGCCAGCUAAGGUCCCAAAGUCAUGGUUAAGUGGGAAACGAUGUGGGAAGGCCCAGACAGCCAGGAUGUUGGCUUAGAAGCAGCCAUCAUUUAAAGAAAGCGUAAUAGCUCACUGGUCGAGUCGGCCUGCGCGGAAGAUGUAACGGGGCUAAACCAUG
rnacentral:rRNA from 1 species